UAAGCAUAUCAAUAAGCGGAGGAAAAGAAACCAACAGGGAUUGCCUCAGUAACGGCGAGUGAAGCGGCAAGAGCUCAAAUUUGAAAGCUGGCUCCUUCGGGGUCCGCAUUGUAAUUUGCAGAGGAUGCUUCGGGAGUGGCCCCCAUCUAAGUGCCCUGGAACGGGCCGUCAUAGAGGGUGAGAAUCCCGUCUGGGAUGGGGUGCCCACAACCGUGUGAAGCUCCUUCGACGAGUCGAGUUGUUUGGGAAUGCAGCUCUAAAUGGGUGGUAAAUUUCAUCUAAAGCUAAAUACUGGCCGGAGACCGAUAGCGCACAAGUAGAGUGAUCGAAAGAUGAAAAGCACUUUGAAAAGAGAGUUAAACAGCACGUGAAAUUGUUGAAAGGGAAGCGCUUGCGACCAGACUCGCCCACGGGGUUCAGCCGGCAUUCGUGCCGGUGUACUUCCCCGCGGGCGGGCCAGCGUCGGUUUGGGCGGCCGGUCAAAGGCCCUUGGAAUGUAACGCCCCCCGGGGCGUCUUAUAGCCAAGGGUGCCAUGCGGCCAGCCCGGACCGAGGAACGCGCUUCGGCUCGGACGCUGGCAUAAUGGUCGUAAGCGACCCGUCUUGAAACACGGACCAAGGAGUCUAACAUCUACGCGAGUGUUCGGGUGUCAAACCCGUGCGCGCAGUGAAAGCGAACGGAGGUGGGAACCCCUCGGGGUGCACCAUCGACCGAUCCUGAUGUCUUCGGAUGGAUUUGAGUAAGAGCGUAGCUGUUGGGACCCGAAAGAUGGUGAACUAUGCCUGAAUAGGGCGAAGCCAGAGGAAACUCUGGUGGAGGCUCGCAGCGGUUCUGACGUGCAAAUCGAUCGUCAAAUUUGGGUAUAGGGGCGAAAGACUAAUCGAACCAUCUAGUAGCUGGUUCCUGCGA
rnacentral:rRNA from 1 species